ensembl:snRNA U7 U7 small nuclear RNA
GGGUGUUACAGCUCUUUUAGAAUUUGUCUAGCAGGCUUUGCAGUAAACACCGGAAAGCCCUC